GAUGAACGCUGGCGGCGUGCCUAAUACAUGCAAGUCGAGCGAACAGACGAGGAGCUUGCUCCUUCGACGUUAGCGGCGGACGGGUGAGUAACACGUAGGUAACCUACCUAUAAGACUGGGAUAACUUCGGGAAACCGGAGCUAAUACCGGAUAAUAUUUCGAACCGCAUGGUUCGAUAGUGAAAGAUGGCUUUGCUAUCACUUAUAGAUGGACCUGCGCCGUAUUAGCUAGUUGGUAAGGUAACGGCUUACCAAGGCAACGAUACGUAGCCGACUGAGAGGGUGAUCGGCCACACUGGAACUGAGACACGGUCCAGACUCCUACGGGAGGCAGCAGUAGGGAAUCUUCCGCAAUGGGCGAAAGCCUGACGGAGCAACGCCGCGUGAGUGAUGAAGGUCUUCGGAUCGUAAAACUCUGUUAUUAGGGAAGAACAAACGUGUAAGUAACUGUGCACGUCUUGACGGUACCUAAUCAGAAAGCCACGGCUAACUACGUG
rnacentral:rRNA from 1 species